CUUCGUGAUGCUUUCCAAUCACAGAAACACAGAAUCUCAGAGUGGGUGAGGCUGGAAGGGCCCACAGUGGCUCAUCUGGUCCCACCUCACUGCUCCAGCAGGGCCAUCCCAGAGCACAUGGCACAG